rnacentral:rRNA from 1 species
UACGAAGGGGGCUAGCGUUGUUCGGAUUUACUGGGCGUAAAGCGCGCGUAGGCGGAUAUUUAAGUCGGGGGUGAAAUCCCGGGGCUCAACCCCGGAAUGGCCUUCGAUACUGGAUGUCUGGAGAUCGGGAGAGGUUGGUGGAAUUCCGAGUGUAGAGGUGAAAUUCGUAGAUAUUCGGAGGAACACCAGAAGCGAAGGCGGCCAACUGGCCCGAUACUGACGCUGAGGCGCGAAAGCGUGGGGAGCAAACAGG